UACGUAGGGUGCAAGCGUUAAUCGGAAUUACUGGGCGUAAAGCGUGCGCAGGCGGUUAUGUAAGACAGAUGUGAAAUCCCCGGGCUCAACCUGGGAACUGCAUUUGUGACUGCAUUGCUGGAGUAUGGCAGAGGGGGGUGGAAUUCCACGUGUAGCAGUGAAAUGCGUAGAGAUGUGGAGGAACACCGAUGGCGAAGGCAGCCCCCUGGGCCAAUACUGACGCUCAUGCACGAAAGCGUGGGGAGCAAACAGG
rnacentral:rRNA from 1 species